GAUGAACGCUGGCGGCGUGCUUAACACAUGCAAGUCGAACGGUGAAGGCGGAGCUUGCUCUGCUGGAUCAGUGGCGAACGGGUGAGUAACACGUGAGCAAUCUGCCCCUGACUCUGGGAUAAGCGCUGGAAACGGCGUCUAAUACUGGAUACGAGCUGCGAAGGCAUCUUCAGCAGCUGGAAAGAACUUCGGUCAGGGAUGAGCUCGCGGCCUAUCAGCUUGUUGGUGAGGUAACGGCUCACCAAGGCGUCGACGGGUAGCCGGCCUGAGAGGGUGACCGGCCACACUGGGACUGAGACACGGCCCAGACUCCUACGGGAGGCAGCAGUGGGGAAUAUUGCACAAUGGGCGAAAGCCUGAUGCAGCAACGCCGCGUGAGGGACGACGGCCUUCGGGUUGUAGACCUCUUUUAGCAGGGAAGAAGCGAGAGUGACGGUACCUGCAGAAAAAGCGCCGGCUAACUACGUG
rnacentral:rRNA from 1 species